GCGAGAGUGGCGGAAUGGGCAGACGCACUGGAUUUAGGAUCCAGCGGCUUCGGCUGUGGGGGUUCAAGUCCCCCCUCUCGCACCA
rnacentral:tRNA from 3 species